rnacentral:rRNA from 1 species
GAUGAACGCUGGCAGCGUGCUUAACACAUGCAAGUCGAGCGAGUGAGUCCUUCGGAACGAUCUAGCGGCGGACGGGUGAGUAACACGUGGGCAACCUGCCUCAUAGAGGGGAAUAGCCUCCCGAAAGGGAGAUUAAUACCGCAUAAAAUUAUCGAGUGGCAUCACAUGAUAAUCAAAGGAGUAAUCCGCUAUGAGAUGGGCCCGCGGCGCAUCAGCUAGUUGGUGAGGUAACGGCUCACCAAGGCGACGAUGCGUAGCCGACCUGAGAGGGUGAUCGGCCACAUUGGGACUGAGACACGGCCCAGACUCCUACGGGAGGCAGCAGUGGGGAAUAUUGCACAAUGGGGGAAACCCUGAUGCAGCAACGCCGCGUGAGUGAUGAAGGUCUUCGGAUUGUAAAGCUCUGUCUUUGGGGACGAUAAUGACGGUACCCAAGGAGGAAGCCACGGCUAACUACGUGCCAGCCGCCGCAGUAA